UAGCACAAGUCUACGAAGAACAGUAAUGUUCCUUCCGCAGAGUACACUUGCAGAAGCCUNNGUGGCCCGAAAGGGUGUCAUCAACGACUAUAAACAAGUAGAUGGAUUAAACGCUAGUCUCUUCUAGAGGCAACACUAUCAAAUUGCGGGAAGAUCCUGUCAUGUCCACAUCACCGCGGCUCACCGAAAGGUGCAGUGCAGCACCAGGUUAACUACCUUGGGAAUGGUAAUAGCAUGUUGGAAUAGGGAGAAUCCGCAGCCAAGCCCCUUUGUGGGGUGCAGUUCACAGGCCAAAUGGUAGUGGGCACUUCAAGUGCUUAAGAUAUGGUCGAGUCCCAGUUGUAAAGCUGGGUACAAGUACUCUUGCUUGGAUAUAAAAUGCAAAUGUUCCGUAGGUGAACCUGC
rnacentral:rRNA from 1 species